rnacentral:lncRNA from 1 species
AAAAUCAAAAAAUAAAAUAUCAUAGUGAGCAACUGAAGCUGCCGCUGACCUCGGAUGGGUUCCAACAUUUCACUGGCGCCCCAUCAACUCACAUCACUGCCUCCACUAGGUCAUCCUUCAGCAUAUUUUUCAGCUUGUUUCCAUCAACACUCGUGAGACAUUAUUCCGUGAAGUUAAUUGAAUUGAAAACGAUUGCCAUUACAGGUAAAGUCCCUGGUAAAUGGGGCACUAAUAUUGAAGUCACGAGCAGGAUAAGGUGAAGGACCAGAGGCAUGCAAUCAGGAAAGCGGCAGCACAAUUGGAGGGGCUGAAGAAGAAUGGGUGAAAGUAAAUUUGAUGGACCACGACCACUGAAAGUUACCUCCGUUACGCGGGGGGGUAAAAUGGUUUUGCCACUGGUUAAAUGCUGCCAGAUCUGGGUGAGCGAAUCCACAGUCCAAAGCCUGGCCCAACUCGAUAUGAACUUAGGCCCAUAUUCUGGGCCCAUCAGCAUCCAUUUCAUUAGUACGUAACCUGAUUUGGUUUAGUAGUAAUCAAGGCUGAUUGUUGUGCGCGUGCGCAUGUGUAGCUCGGAUAACACUAACUUAACAGGUUUGAUUUACUUUGUUUCCCACUGCAUGUAACCAUGAAUUCUCUCAAUGGCUUUGGGAUCCUUCCUCAGCACUCUAGCUUAGAUAUCAUUUAGACUCUUUUAACGA